AUAUGCCAGUUGAGGGCAUAUGAAAUGUACGUGACAGUCUAUCCCUCCUGCAGUUACAAUCAUCCCUUCUCCAGCAAUAACCUCGGUGUUAGCCUUAAUCAUAUAUGGGCAAAAGAAAAUUCAGUGUCGGCCUCAUACUAAAGACAAACAGGUUGAAAGAGUAGUAGCAGUCUUGCUAGACAUGCUUGUCUGCUCAUUCAUGAUCUUACCCCAACAGUCAUAUUAGGAGAGAUGCCAUCCAUGAUAUCUGGGUUUCCUGCCUUCCCAAGGGCAGUAAUACGACCGCCUUUAAUUCCAAUGUCUGACUUGAAUAUUCCAGUGUAGUCGAUGAUUACAGCAUUGGUUAUGACCGUAUCAAGAGCAUCAGCUGCUUGGUGCCCACAACACUGGUGUUGUCCCAUUCCAUCUCUUAU
rnacentral:sRNA from 1 species